rnacentral:lncRNA from 10 species
UAGCGGGGUAAAAAGUGGGGCUAAACAGAAGAAGAGUACUCGCGAGAGAAAGGGCGGAGCUUUGGAUGAGCCUGGAAAGUGGAGCUGGACUAGAAAUAAAGAACAAAGUUGGAAAAAGCGAUGCGACGCUGAAGGGAGCAGGCGGGGCUUGGGAUGCAAUGUGAGAAGAAUAUAAAAUUUGCAUGAAUUUUUAAGAUGAAAUACGGAAACUUCAAAGACAUUUUCAGCCUGACUGCUUUCAGCUAUGCCCCCAGAUUCCCCCAGAGGGACGCUGUCGCUUGCCUUUGCUGACAGGCGACUUGCUAGAAAAGUCUGGGAAGCUCUGGUCUACAGAAGGUAAUGAUUUAUUUAUAUUUCUGUCUCCUGCACCAAGGCGGGAGCU